GCUCGAAAGAGAAUCUGCACACAGGUGCUGCAUGGCUGUCGUCAGCUCGUGUCGUGAGAUGUUGGGUUAAAUCCCGCAACGAGCGCAACCCUUGUCAUUAGUUGCUACGAAAGAGCACUCUAAUGAGACUGCCGGUGACAAACCGGAGGAAGGUGGGGAUGACGUCAAGUCCUCAUGGCCCUUAUGGGUAGGGCUUCACACGUCAUACAAUGGUACAUACAGAGGGCCGCCAACCCGCGAGGGGGAGCUAAAUCCCAGAAAGUGUAUCGUAGUCCGGAUUGUAGUCUGCAACUCGACUGCAUGAAGUUGGAAUCGCUAGUAAUCGCGGAUCAGCAUGUCGCGGUGAAUACGUUCCCGGGUCUUGUACACACCGCCCGUCACACCAUGGGAGCGGGUUUUACCAGAAGUAGGUAGCUUAACCGCAAGGAGGGCGCUUACCACGGUAGGAUUCGUGACUGGGGUGAA
rnacentral:rRNA from 1 species